rnacentral:rRNA from 1 species
CCUACGGAGGCAGCAGUGGGGAAUAUUGGACAAUGGGCGAAAGCCUGAUCCAGCCAUGCCGCGUGUGUGAAGAAGGCCUUCGGGUUGUAAAGCACUUUCAGUGGGGAAGAAAGCCUUGGGGCUAAUACCCUCGAGGAAGGACAUCACCCACAGAAGAAGCACCGGCUAACUCCGUGCCAGCAGCCGCGGUAAUACGGAGGGUGCGAGCGUUAAUCGGAAUUACUGGGCGUAAAGCGCGCGUAGGCGGUCUGAUAAGCCGGUUGUGAAAGCCCCGGGCUCAACCUGGGAACGGCAUCCGGAACUGUCAGGCUAGAGUGCAGGAGAGGAAGGUAGAAUUCCCGGUGUAGCGGUGAAAUGCGUAGAGAUCGGGAGGAAUACCAGUGGCGAAGGCGGCCUUCUGGACUGACACUGACGCUGAGGUGCGAAAGCGUGGGUAGCAAACAGGAUUAGAUACCCGGGUAGUC